CUGCUUUUGUACGGAACGAAAGGCUCUGCCCUAAUACGGCGGAGAUAUGACGGUACCGUAAGAAUAAGCACCGGCUAACUACGUGCCAGCAGCCGCGGUAAUACGUAGGGUGCAAGCGUUAAUCGGAAUUACUGGGCGUAAAGCGUGCGCAGGCGGUUAUAUAAGUCAGAUGUGAAAUCCCCGGGCUCAACCUGGGAACUGCAUUUGAGACUGUAUAGCUGGAGUACGGCAGAGGGGGAUGGAAUUCCGCGUGUAGCAGUGAAAUGCGUAGAUAUGCGGAGGAACACCGAUGGCGAAGGCAAUCCCCUGGGCCUGUACUGACGCUCAUGCACG
rnacentral:rRNA from 1 species